UUUCCCUACGGGACGCAGCAGUGGGGGAUAUUGGACAAUGGGGGAAACCCUGAUCCAGCGAUGCCGCGUGAGGGAAGAAGGUUUUCGGAUUGUAAACCUCUGUGGAGGGGGACGAUAAUGACGGUACCCCUUUAGGAAGCCACGGCUAACUACGUGCCAGCAGCCGCGGUAAUACGUAGGUGGCGAGCGUUGUCCGGAUUUACUGGGUGUAAAGGGAGCGUAGACGGAGGAGCAAGUCUGAUGUGAAAAUCCGGGGCCCAACCCCGGAACUGCAUUGGAAACUGUUUAUCUAGAGUGUCGGAGAG
rnacentral:rRNA from 1 species